AGCGAACGCUGGCGGCAGGCCUAACACAUGCAAGUCGAACGGACCCUUCGGGGUUAGUGGCGGACGGGUGAGUAACACGUGGGAACGUGCCUUUAGGUUCGGAAUAGCUCCUGGAAACGGGUGGUAAUGCCGAAUGUGCCCUUCGGGGAAAGAUUUAUCGCCUUUAGAGCGGCCCGCGUCUGAUUAGCUUGUUGGUGGGGUAAUGGCCCACCAAGGCUACGAUCAGUAGCUGGUCUGAGAGGAUGACCAGCCACAUUGGGACUGAGACACGGCCCAAACUCCUACGGGGGGCAGCAGUGGGGAAUCUUGCGCAAUGGGCGAAAGCCUGACGCAGCCAUGCCGCGUGUAUGAUGAAGGUUUUAGGAUUGUAAAAUACUUUCACCGGUGAAGAUAAUGACUGUAGCCGGAGAAGAAGCCCCGGCUAACUUCGUGCCAGCAGCCGCGGUAAUACGAAGGGGGCUAGCGUUGCUCGGAAUUACUGGGCGUAAAGGGNGCGUAGGCGGACAUUUAAGUCAGAGGU
rnacentral:rRNA from 1 species